UGAGUUUGUUGAGGUUUCACCGUUUAUUGUUCAGUUCCAGAUUUACCUAAUGUCAGUGAAUGCACCAUGUUUAGUUAGCUCACCUCUGAUUGGCUGAGAGUCAGCAGUAGAGAGAGCUGGGAACGGCGGCUAAUUCUGGAGCUAAGUUAUGGGGUUUUUCUAGUUAUUCUGGAGCUAAGUUAUGGGGUUUUUCUAGUUCUUCUGGAGCUAAGUUAUGGGGUUUUUCUAGUUAUUCUGGAGCUAAGUUAUGGGGUUUUUCUAGUUCUUCUGGAGCUAAGUUAUGGGGUUUUUCUAGUUAUUCUGGAGCUAAGUUAUGGGUUUUUCUAGUUCUUCUGGAGCUAA